AGUUGCCGCUGCUGCAGCUGCUGCUGCCGGGGCAGUGGCCGCUGGGGGGUUGUCGCUUGGCGCCGCGCGCAGUCCCUAGCGCAACAUGCAGGAUCUUCCCGGCCUGACUGCUGCACCUCGAUCGUGAGUCGCCCCUGCCUGAGCGGCUUCCACCGCCUGGAAAAAACUAAGAAACUCAAGAGGAGUCAUCAGAAUUCCUGCCAUGUGGGAGUCAUCAACCCAAUGGGUGACUUCUUUUCUGCUCCACAUAUAAGAGGAUUACUUAGACCGAGCCAGGACAAUGAGAUUCAAUCCUGAAAUUUUUUUCAAACUUGGAAAGAGGAUCUCUUUUCCAUGGGAUUGAAAAUAGAGCUCCUGAGAACCUGCCUGAUGGAGAGUGCAACAUAGAGAAAAGCAGAACGAAGACACAGAGAGAAGGAGUUCCAUUUUGACUUCUAGAUCCAACCUUGCCUGCAGCUGAGCUUGUUCACUGAAUGGAGUCUCACUUUGUCACCCAGGCUGUAGUACAGUGGCGUGAUCUUGGCUCACUGCAACCUCCGCCUCCUGGGUUCAAGCAAUUCUCCUGCCUCAGCCUCCCAAGUAGCUUGGAUUACAGGCAUGCACCACCACACCCGGCUAAUUUUUGUAUUUUUAGUAGAGACGAGGUUUCGCCAUGUUUGCCAGGCUGGUCUUGAACUCCUGACCUCAGGUGAUCACCCACCUCAGCCUCCCAAAGUGCUAGGAUUACAGGUGUGAGCCACUGCACCCAGCCACAAUGCAACUUUUAAAAAAUGAAAUAAUUAUUAGCUUUUCUGGAAAAGCUUUAUCUCUUUUAACCUAUGAAAAGUAUUAAUAUUUGUCAUAAAAAAAGCUUUUGCAUUUUUUAGAAGAAACAGUGCUUCAUUUCUAUUAUAAAAGGAAAUUGUAGAAUAUUGUGAGACUCACCUGUGAAUGCUAUUUAUAUAGACACUAUAAUUUUAACACUGUAUAUGAAUAGAACCAAAGAAGAUUAAAUGAUUGUGCAUUUGUGUAGGGUGUAUUUGAGUUGGGGGACGGAGACUGGUUGGGGUUUGAGGAGUGGUUAAGAAAACUAAAUCUUAUCUUCAAUAGUAGGAAGUCAAUAGAUAAUAUUCAAAACUGAAAAAGAAAAACAAAACUUAAAUAGCAGAAAAAUCUGCUUAUUUGAAAAUAUGGAUGUAAAUACCAGUAAAAACUGCUUAAACUGUUGGAAAUUUUUUACUUUGGAAAUGGGAAUCAGAAGCUAGAAAGUGCAAAGCUGUAGAUUGCUGUUAUAAGCUAGUAGAACUCAGCAUAAAGUGAAUAUGUAUGACUUUGACAAAAAUAAAAAUAAAAAUUUUAAAUAAGAA